AUGCGCUUAAACUGCUCAAUGGCAAGAAGCGUGUGGGCUUUAGCUGACGAAGAAAUGGUGGAGUUAAUGUGCCAGAAUAAAUCUGAAAACGCUAAGGAAUGGAUCUUCCAAAUGAAUAGCAAGUUAUCGCAUGAUCAACUAGUGCAUAUGGUGAUCACGCUGUGGGCUAUAUGGGGAGUGAGAAGGAAAACAGUUUAUGAGGAUAUCUUUCAAAGCCCAAUGUCAACACACUUAUAUAUUCAGUCCUACUGGAGUGAUCUCCAAGUCUUGAAAAAACCGCACAUUCAGCACUCACAUCCCAGGCCAGUGAGGCCAUCCCAUUGGAUCCAACCGCCGGAGCACUUGAUGAAGGUGAAUGUAGAUGCUGCGGUUUCGGAACGACGAGGUGUAGGCUCAGUGGCAGCAAUUUGCAGAAACAGAGAUGGACUCUAUCUAGGUGCUUCAUCAGUGGUAUUCAGAGGGAUAACUGAUCCGACAACUUUGGAAGCUCUAGCGGUAAGGGAGGCCCUGGCAUUGGCAGAGGAUCUAAACAUACAAGCUAUACAUGUGGCUUCCGAUUGCUCAGUGGUGAUAGAUGAUCUCAAGAAAAGAAGCGGGGCUGGUUAUGGGGCUAUUAUACAUGAAAUAUUAAAGUACUCUACUAGUUUUACUUCGUGUAAUUUUGUUCAUGAAUUUAGGAGCUCGAACGUCGAAACUCACAAUCUAGCAAAGCAUGCAUUAAAACUGGGGCUUGGUCGCCAUGUUUGGUUGGGCCACCCUGGGAUCUUCAUUUCGUCCAUGUAA
rnacentral:rRNA from 1 species